GACGAACGCUGGCGGCGUGCCUAAUACAUGCAAGUCGAACGCUUUUUCUUUCACCGGAGCUUGCUCCACCGAAAGAAAAAGAGUGGCGAACGGGUGAGUAACACGUGGGUAACCUGCCCAUCAGAAGGGGAUAACACUUGGAAACAGGUGCUAAUACCGUAUAACACUAUUUUCCGCAUGGAAGAAAGUUGAAAGGCGCUUUUGCGUCACUGGUGGAUGGACCCGCGGUGCAUUAGCUAGUUGGUGAGGUAACGGCUCACCAAGGCAACGAUGCAUAGCCGACCUGAGAGGGUGAUCGGCCACACUGGGACAGAGACACGGCCCAGACUCCUACGGGAGGUAGCAGUAGGGAAUCUUCGGCAAUGGACGAAAGUCUGAACGAGCAACGCCGCGUGAGUGAAGAAGGUUUUCGGAUCGUAAAACUCUGUUGUUAGAGAAGAACAAGGAUGAGAGUAAAACGUUCAUCCCUUGACGGUAUCUAACCAGAAAGCCACGGCUAACUACGUGCCAGCCGCCGCCGUAA
rnacentral:rRNA from 1 species